UUAGUCCUACGGGAGGCAGCAGUGAGGAAUAUUGGUCAAUGGACGCAAGUCUGAACCAGCCAUGCCGCGUGCAGGAUGACGGCUCUAUGAGUUGUAAACUGCUUUUGUACGAGGGUAAACCCCGAUACGUGUAUCGGGUUGAAAGUAUCGUACGAAUAAGGAUCGGCUAACUCCGUGCCAGCAGCCGCGGUAAUACGGAGGAUCCGAGCGUUAUCCGGAUUUAUUGGGUUUAAAGGGUGCGUAGGCGGUAUUUUAAGUUAGUGGUAAAACGUCGGGGCUUCACCUUGAUUGGCCAUUAAAACUGG
rnacentral:rRNA from 1 species